GGGGGAUAUUGCGCAAUGGGGGCAACCCUGACGCAGCAACGCCGCGUGAAGGAUGAAGGUUUUCGGAUUGUAAACUUCUUUUAUUAAGGACGAAAAUUGACGGUACUUAAUGAAUAAGCUCCGGCUAACUACGUGCCAGCAGCCGCGGUAAUACGUAGGGAGCAAGCGUUGUCCGGAUUUACUGGGUGUAAAGGGUGCGUAGGCGGCUUUGCAAGUCAGAUGUGAAAUCUAUGGGCUCAACCCAUAAACUGCAUUUGAAACUGUAGAGCUUGAGUGAAGUAGAGGCAGGCGGAAUUCCCCGUGUAGCGGUGAAAUGCGUAGAGAUGGGGAGGAACACCAGUGGCGAAGGCGGCCUGCUGGGCUUUAACUGACGCUGAGGCACGAAAGCGUGGGUAGCAAACAGGAUUAGAUACCCUGGUAGUCCACGCUGUAAACGAUGAUUACUAGGUGUGGGGGGUCUGACCCCUUCCGUGCCGGAGUUAACACAAUAAGUAAUCCACCUGGGGAGUACGGCCGCAAGGUUGAAACUCAAAGGAAUUGACGGGGGCCUGCACAAGCAGUGGAGUAUGUGGUUUAAUUCGAAGCAACGCGAAGAACCUUACCAGGUCUUGACAUCCAACUAACGAAGUAGAGAUACAUUAGGUGCCCUUCGGGGAAAGUUGAGACAGGUGGUGCAUGGUUGUCGUCAGCUCGUGUCGUGAGAUGUUGGGUUAAGUCCCGCAACGAGCGCAACCCUUGCUAUUAGUUGCUACGCAAGAGCACUCUAAUAGGACUGCCGUUGACAAAACGGAGGAAGGUGGGGACGACGUCAAAUCAUCAUGCCCCUUAUGACCUGGGCUACACACGUACUACAAUGGAUGUUAACAGAGGGAAGCAAGACAGUGAUGUGGAGCAAACCCCUAAAAACAUUCUCAGUUCAGAUUGCAGGCUGCAACCCGCCUGCAUGAAGAUGGAAUUGCUAGUAAUCGCGGAUCAGAAUGCCGCGGUGAAUACGUUCCCG
rnacentral:rRNA from 1 species